AAUUGAGUUUAACUUUGGGUCUUAGGUACUGGUAAGCUCAAUAUUUUCCUUUGACCCUCAUUUUAUUUGCAUUAGCAGGCAAGUUAAAAAAGAUAAAUGAUUAUAAUUUUCCAGAUGGUUCAACUGAUGGAACAUUAUCCAACCACAAUAAAAAGAUUUGGAAUGCGCAAGUUUUGCAGUGCUGCCUUUUACCUGAUGGUGAAACUUAGUUCCGGCCAUAAAUCCGAGGGAGACACAAGAACGGUCAAGAGGUCAGGUUCUGGCGGGGAACAAGCAUGACAUAAAGCCUGUGCUUGAUGCCGUCAUCAUUUCUGCCUGCAAAGGUUAUGUCUGGAUGUGGUGCAAAGACCACAGCAAAACAGUGCCAGAUGACACCUCUUUCAACAAGGCAGUGACACUCCAAAUAGACUACUCCAGGAAAUAAAUGAAAUCAUCUUGUUUAAAUUGAGACUAAAAAUAGG